CAGCCGCCGCGGGAAUACAGAGGGUGCGAGCGUUAAUCGGAUUUACUGGGCGUAAAGCGUGCGUAGGCGGCUUUUUAAGUCGGAUGUGAAAUCCCUAAGCUUAACUUAGGAAUUGCAUUCGAUACUGGGAAGCUAGAGUAUGGGAGAGGAUGGUAGAAUUCCAGGUGUAGCGGUGAAAUGCGUAGAGAUCUGGUGGAAUACCGAUGGCGAAGGCAGCCAUCUGGCCUAAUACUGACGCUGAGGUACGAAAGCAUGGGGAGCAAACAGGAUUAGAUACCCCUGUAGUCCCUGUCUCUUAUAC
rnacentral:rRNA from 1 species